UUUUUAGUGGCGAACGGGUGCGUAACACGUAAGAAUCUGCCUUUAGGAAGGGGAUAACAUUUAGAAAUAUUUGCUAAUACCCUAUAUGCUUCACAGUGAAAGAAUUUAUUCGCCUAAAGAGGAGCUUGCGUCUGAUUAGCUAGUUGGUAGGGUAAAGGCCUACCAAGGCGACGAUCAGUAGUUGGUCUGAGAGGACGGCCAGCCACAUUGGAACUGAGACACGGUCCAGACUCUUACGGGAGGCAGCAGUGAGGAAUUUUCUGCAAUGGGCGAAAGCCUGACAGAGCAAUACCGCGUGAGGGAUGACUGCCUACGGGUUGUAAACCUCUUUUCUCAAGGAGGAAGAUCUGACGUUACUUGAGGAAUAAGCAUCGGCUAACCCUGUGCCAGCAGCCGCGGUAAUACAGGGGAUGCAAGUGUUAUCCGGAAUUAUUGGGCGUAAAGCGUCUGCAGGUUGAUCUAUAAGUCUUUUGUCAAAUCUUUGGGCUUAACCCAAAAACAGCAAAAGAAACUAUUUAUCUUGAGUAUGGUAGAGGUAAGGGGAAUUUCCAGUGGAGCGGUGAAAUGCGUAGAUAUUGGAAAGAACACCAACAGCGAAGGCACCUUACUGGGCCAUUACUGACACUCAGAGACGAAAGCUAGGGUAGCAAACGGGAUUAGAUACCCCGGUAGUCCUAGCUGUAAACGAUGGAUACUAGGUGUUGCGUACUUUAUAGUAUGCAGUGUCGUAGCUAACGCG
rnacentral:rRNA from 27 species